CUAAAAAUUUCGUCUAAUUCUCUCUCUAUCUGCAGGGUUAGGGUUUUGACGCAUCCAUCCGUUGUGGUGAAAAUGGAGGCAGAGAUCGAUCACUACGAGGUGCUAGGGUUACCGUCCGGCGAAGAAGGCGCGAAGCUAACGGACAAAGAAAUCAACAAGGCCUACCGAUGGAAGGCUCUCGAAUUGCACCCUGACAAGAGGCCCGACGACGCCAACGCCGCCGCUAACUUCCAACAACUCCGCACCUCGUACGACAUCCUCAGGGACGACAAGGCCCGCAAGUUGUUCGACGACCUCUUGCGCGUCAAGCGCGACCGCGAGCUCCGCAAUUCGCAGCGCGACGGAAAGCGCCGCAAGAUGGUCUCCGAUCUCGAGCGCCGGGAGCGCGACGCCAACGCCCCCGAUCCCGCCGCGAUGGAACGCGAAGAGGAGGCCAGGAUCGCGAGGCAGCUCAAGGAGGAGAUUGCGAGGAUUCGUGCUAUGCACGGGAAGAAGGAGGAGGCGGCGGUGAAGCCGGCGGCGAAGAAGAAGGAGAGUGGCGGUGGUGGUGGGGGAGGUGGAGUGGAUCAAGAGAAGGUUCUGAAGGUUUCGUGGGAGAAGGUGGGUGAGGAUUAUGCGGCUGAUAAGUUGAGGGAAUUGUUCUCCAAGUUUGGUGCAGUGGAAGAUGUUGUCAUCAAAGGGAGUAAGAAGAAGGGUUCUGCUCUUGUUGUUAUGGCCACUAAAGAAGGAGCUGUUUCUGCUACUGGGAGUGUGAUUGGCCAUCUUGCUAAUCCGUUGCUGGUUUUACCUCUUAAACCAGCAACUGUGGCGGAUUCUUCGAGUGUUCCAAAAUCUGCUGAAACCACCAGGAUGAGUAAUCUGGUCGGUGCCGGGUAUCAAGCUUUUGAGGAUUCUGUUCUGAAGAAACUGCAAAAGGCUGCGGAAAAGCAAAGAUGAGUCUGUCAGGAUGAUAAUCAUAAGAUUCAAUUGUUUGGCAUGGUCAUCCCCAAUUCUAUUUAUUAGGAGUCUACAACCUCUGGUGAUAUAAUUGAAGAAAAAUUCCUUUUGAUGAAAACCAUAAACUGAAAAUCGAACCAGUUUGUGUGGUUUUAAUGUCAUCUGGGUUCUGUGCCAAUUGCCAAAUGCUGUUGGGUUGCAAACAGAGAAAACCAAUACUACCGUGCAAGCAGAUGGAAAGUCAAAGACCAUUGAUUCCCACGAUUGUUUAAAAUUUUAGUCUCAGUCAAGUUCUCUGUGCUUGCUUAUUAGUUUGGAAUUCACUCUGCUGCUGUCUGUAUAUUGUAUACAGCACUUAAAUGGGAAUGGAACUGGGAAGUCGGAAUAAGCCCAAAUUCUAAGAACACAUUUGGCAAAGCUCACUCUUAACGUGCUGGACGAAGCGUUAUAUACUACAAUUACGAUAUUAAUUAUUAGACUUGGAAGUGGACAUAGAGGAAUACUUGGUAUGAUGCUUCCCUUAGCUCAUGUUUGCAAUUUGCAAGAACAAUAAAUAGUUGUAUGAACUAUGAAGACUAUAUAGCUUUAGAACGUGUGUCAAGUAUCAAAGCUGUUCGAUCAAAACUGUGUUGACUGCGAAGCUUUCUUAUAGUGCCAUUUAUACUGGUAAUUGCCAUGACUGUGUAUAAUCAUGUGUAUUUAUUUAUUUAUUUUUAUUUUACAUAUAAA